GGAGGGUGUGGCUCAGUGCAAGAACAUCUGCUUUGCUCGCAGAAGGUGCCGGGUUCAAUCCCCACCACCUCCC
rnacentral:tRNA from 1 species